rnacentral:rRNA from 1 species
GUCUACGGCCAUACUACCCUGAAUGCACCCGAUCUCGUCUGAUCCCGGAAGAAAUCAAAUAAUACCAAAUGCUAGCAAGGCUGUGGAAU